UAUAUAUUAUCCGAUACAUAUAUAGCAAAAUCACAUCACCACACAUUCUCUCUUACACCAAUAUUUACAGAAAAUGAAAAUAAAUAAAAGAACGUAAUGGAACUGCACGUUUGUGUUUUUCGGGAAGCAAAUCGAUUCAUACUAUAACCCUUGUCCUUCAGCCGAGUCAGUUGUUUCCUCCGUUGAUACCUCCGAUGGGGCCGGACGGCGGCACGGGUCCUCUAGGAAGCAUGGAGAAGGCCAGCUGCGCCACGUCGAGUUUCUUAUUCGUCGACCUCCUGCUCGAAUGAUCGAGGGCGGAGCUUUCUUUUGGUAACCCAACGUUGAGACCCCGCGUUGCACCGCAUUGGUGACACCCGAGCAAGAGCAGGAGGAGGAGUAGGAGAGACAGAACUCUGAUAGAUUUUGUCGUACUGACGGCCAUAUUGGAGAACAAGAAAGAGCAAACUUUGUGACCACUAGAUGCUUUGGGCAAAGGUGGAAGCGGCAGCAGCAGCGGAGAGAGAGAGAGAGAGAGAGAGAGAGAGAGAGAGAGAACUUUAUCACCACUAGAUGCUUUGGGCAAAGGUGGAAGCAGCAGCAGAGACAGAGAGAUGAGGAGACCCGGGAAAGCCGAUGAAUGGUGGAGGAGGAGGAGGAGGUGAUGUUGGAUGGCUUUUAAUACGACGAGGAGUGCAAGCAGCAGCGGCAGCAGUGCAUGCCAAGAGCCCGAUCGGAAUGUCCACAACGAAUUGUUUCGAGUUACAAGUGGGAGGCUACACCUGUACACCACUCCACCAUAAAGCUCAUGGAUGAUAUCUAAAGAACACCUACCUAAACGCGAUGCUAGUCGGUGCCGUAUCCAACAGUUGGGUCAUCCCGUUGUACUUGCGGCCGCGGAGAUGGAUCUCCGGAACGCAAGGAAACUUUGUUAGGUUCGAUGCAUAUAUCAUUCAUCACACGGUAAAUGCCACACCCCAACGAGUCAACUCGUAGCGUUCUUCAUUUCGUCGUUCUAAAAUUUC
rnacentral:lncRNA from 1 species